rnacentral:rRNA from 1 species
AAUAUUGGACACUGGGCGAAAGCCUGAUCCAGCCAUGCCGCGUGUGUGAAGAAGGUCUUCGGAUUUUAAAGCACUUUAAGUUGGGAGGAAGGGCUUUAGGCUAAUACCCUAAAGUUUUGACGUUACCACCAGAAUAAGCACCCGCUAACACUGUGCGAGCAGCCGCGGUAAUACAGAGGGUGCAAUCGUUAAUCGGAAUUACUGGCCGUAAAGCGCGCGUAGGUGGUUCAGUGAGAUGGGUGUGAAAGCCCCGGGCUUAACCUGGGAACUGCUUUCAUAACUGAUGAGCUAGAGUACGGUAGAGGGUAGUGGAAUUUCCUGUGUAGCGGUGAAAUGCGUAGAUAUAGGAAGGAACACCAGUGGCGAAGGCGACUACCUGGACUGAUACUGACACUGAGGUGCGAAAGCGUGGGGAGCAAACAGG